UCAAUAGCAAACGAAAAAAAAAUCUUUAUUGUAAUUUGAUAUAAACGCCCUGAAAAAAAAAAUUAAAUUCUGUCCUUUUCAUGACUCUUUCCCAUCGUCAAAUUAUCGUAAUUUCCUCGUAAAUAAUUAAUUUGUGCGUAGCUACAAACGCAACUAGCGAUGCGCUUGGCUUUUUAACAGAAAAAAUCAUCCAAAAUAGUGUCUGUUGUCUAGUUGCGCGUGAAAGACAGACAAAAAUCCAGAGAAAAAAAAUUAAAAAAAAAAAUUCUAAUAAAAUUUAGGUUUUAGACGAUGUCAGAGGUGUCGACAACUUCAUCUUCGGACUCCCCGAAUGCCAAAAAGCGCAAGGGAAUCCUCAAACAGUCAAGUAGCUUCGAUCGACAAGGUGCUGGAAAUCGGAAGAGCGCAAAGUUUGACGAACUGAAUGUACUUCAGACAUAUCAUCCGCCGGACAAGGAUUACGGCCAUAUGAAGGUAGAGGAGCCCAAAACGCCGUAUAAUUAUGUAGAUAACAGUGAUAUUGAUCAAUUAGAUGCCGAGUUGUUAGCGGAAAAAUUAAAAGUAGCUGCUGCUGCGGAGUCAGAAUCUUCUGAGGAAGAAGUCGAGCCAGAGACGGAGGAACAACGUGCCAAGCGAUUGGAGUUCGAAAAACGACGAAAAUUGCACUACAACGAGUUCCAGGCAGUAAAAAUGGCCCGAAAACUGCUGGAAGAGGAACUCGCGGAGCUCGAGGAGGAAGAUACCACAGACAAAAGUACCAAAAAGUCAACGACAGACAGUCAGCAAAUGGAUGUCGACAAGGAAGACAAAAACUAAAGGCCCCUCCGUGCUUCCGUCGCACCAUUUUUUACAACAACAACAACUGCAUACCAUACAAAUUACGUUCUAUUUUUAGUUUUCCAACCACACAUUACGUGUCUAAUGUCCAUAUUUAGUCUUGAUAGUUUCUCAAGGACAUCCAUCAACGACACACUCACACGAAAUCGAUCGAUUCGUCACCCCUUCCCUUUGAAAUUUCUUUCUUUCGCGCCGAAACAAUAAUCGACGUGAGAGGGAGAAAUUACAAAGGUUAUCAUCGACAUCCAUCAAAAAAAAAAAACGUGAAUUGAAAUUUAAAAGCAAUCGUUUAUAUUUACACAAGUGCUCGUCAUCAUCAUCAACUCUUCAUUAUUGUCAUUAAAUUGCAUUCUUAGAAGUAAAAACGAGAAAAAAAUGAAGAAAAUAUACACGACGAACCAUGAAAAUCACGACUUAUCUCUUGUACUCUCGAAUGAUAAAACAAUGUCAAAUCAAAUGUGUAGUAAAAAGAUAAUUGGAGCAACGUGUGCAUGUCUAACAAGUGAUAUUCUAUUUUUUUUUUGCUGGUUUAUCGGAAUCAAUUUAGCAUUUCUAAAUCCCACACCGUACGAUAAUAACAAUAAAUAAUUUUAAAAAAAGUUGCAAUAACCAAAUCCAUACGUAACCGAAACUUCUAUAAUUGCGUCUUCUUCUUUUCAUAUAAAAAAAUGUAGAAUAUAACGAAUAAAAUUUUUGUUUUUGCAUGUCGUCGUUAGUUUCGUUGUCCCAUACGUCGUCGCAAUCGCCAAUCCAUGUGUAUUUAAGUGUAUAUGUAAGCUAAAUAAAUAAAAUAAAAUAUAUUUUAAGAAGAAAAAAUAAAAAAACGCCCGAGAUUAGUUGUUGUGUGAUAUUAUUGAGGGACGAGUGUGAAAAAAAAAUAAAUCAAUCACGUUUAAACUUAAAUAAAAUGUAAGCAAAAAAAUGCACGAUGUCGCAUCGGAACGAAAAAAAAAUCUAAAAAUAGAUACAGAUGAAUUUAUUUUUGGAAAGUAAGUUUUUUAAUAUGAUUAGAUAAGAAUAGAUUGUGUUUUUUGAUAGGUUUUCUCGUGAUCGUGAUAAAAAAUGUCAACUUUUGGUUAGAAUAGAAAUCUUUUUUUUUUUUGGUUGUAAAAAAUAAUAAGAUUUUUGGUUGUAAUUUCAUGAAAUAAUUUUAAAGUAAAAUUUUAAAAAAUAAUUUAUUCGAAAAAUAAUAAUUUACUUUCUUAUGAAAUAAAUGAA